rnacentral:rRNA from 1 species
GACGGAGGAUGCAAGCGUUAUCCGGAAUGAUUGGGCGUAAAGCGUCCGCAGGUGGCAGUUCAAGUCUGCUGUCAAAGACCGGGGCUUAACUUCGGAAAGGCAGUGGAAACUGAACAGCUAGAGUAUGGUAGGGGCAGAGGGAAUUCCUGGUGUAGCGGUGAAAUGCGUAGAGAUCAGGAAGAACACCAGUGGCGAAGGCGGCUCACUGGACUGGUAUUGACGCUGAGGUGCGAAAGCGUGGGGAGCAAACAGG